rnacentral:lncRNA from 1 species
UGGGGUUUCAAAUAUGUUGGCCAGGCUGGUCUCGAACUCCUGACCUCAAGUAAUCUGUCCACCUCGACCUCCCAAAGUGCUGGGAUUACAGGUGUAAGCCACCAUGCCGAGCUUUUCAUUCCUUUUUAUUACUGAGGUGUAUUCUUCUGGAUGGAUAUAUCAUAUCUUGUUUUUAGUCUCCAUUUUUUAAAUAUUGCAAAAUGGGCCUAAAACCACCUCUCUGGAGCAUUUGAUGAUCACGUGGAUACCAUUGGGUUGUGUGUAUGUGUGUGUAUGUAACAGGGAGAGGGAGUGACUCUUGCACCGAUUUGGAAAGUGAUUUUAAAAUCUUACCUACAUUGCAUUUAAAAAUAUAUUAAGAGUCCACAUUUUAAAAAUAUACCACGUAUUUAAAAUAUUUCUUUUUGGCUUUUAGUUCCCAAGAACAUACUCACAGUGAUUGAUCCAGCCAUUGCUAAUCUAAAACCUUCUUUGAAGCAGAAAGAUGGUGAAUAUGGUAUGAACUCCGACCCUAGCGAAUCGAAGGUUCUGAGGAAAGAUGGAAUUCUUGUUAGCGACUCUAUGGCAGCCUUUGCGUACAUUAGAGAUAGGUCAAUGAAUCAAAGCUCCCUAGAAUGCUGAUGGAUUUACUAAAGUCUUGUUAAUAAAUGUGCUGUUCAAUUAUAACACUCAGAUAACUAAAGGACAAUGACUUCAAGUUUGACAUGCCAACCACCGCUUCUAAGAUUCAGAAACACAGAGGCCUGAGUUCAGGCACAGUCGCAACCAGGCAGUCAGCAAGAGAACCACAUAAACAGACAAAGUCACACUAUUUAGGAGUUGAGCUCCACAGAUAUUGUUCACUUUUGAAAAGCAGAUACCUGAGGAAUGCAUUUCCCAGCUCUAAAAUUUGGGAAGGAACUAGAAUUAUUGAAUUCCAACCCUGGUUGGAAGAAAAAUGAGCCAGAAGAUCACUCAGUAAACAAGACAGAUGAUGCCCCAUGAAGACAGAACCACUUUCUGGGUCAUUAGUGUUAUUCCUAAUGGUUGCCAAGGAUUCCCUUGUUAGUCUUCCCCAUGAGGAUCAAUCAGACUCAGCCCUCAUGAAUUAACAGAGCCAAAAGGCUUAUACCAAGGCCGGCCACACCACGGGGACCUCUUCAUCAAGGGGAAGAUAAUUUCAUGAGGACGAAAGACAUCUUAAUGAAAGUGAAAGUACAAGGUAUUUACCAGGAGAUAUUCACACCGGAUGCCGUGUCUCACACCUGCAAUCCCAGCUUCACACCAGAUGCAAUGGCUCACACCUGUAACCCCAGCACCUGGGGAGGCCAAGGCAGGAGGAUCACUUUCAGCCAGGAGUUUAAGACCAACCCGGGAAAAAAGACCUCAUCUCUACAAAAAAAUAUAAUAAAAAGUUAGCCGGGCAUGGUAGUAUAUGCCUGUAGUCCCAGCUACUCAGGAGGCUGAGGUGACAGGAUUGUUUGAGCCCAGAAAUUCAAGGCCGCAGCACGCUAUGAUUGUGCCACUGCACUCCAGUCUGGGUGAAAAAGGGAGACUCUCUCUUUCUCGCUGUCUCUCUCACACGUUCUCUCUCUCUCUCUCU